GACGAACGCUGGCGGCGUGCUUAACACAUGCAAGUCGAGCGGUAAGGCCCUUUCGGGGGUACACGAGCGGCGAACGGGUGAGUAACACGUGGGUGACCUGCCCUCAGCUCUGGGAUAAGCCUGGGAAACUGGGUCUAAUACUGGAUAUGACUCCACGGUGCAUGUCGUGGGGUGGAAAGCCUUGUGCGGCUGAGGAUGGGCCCGCGGCCUAUCAGCUUGUUGGUGGGGUGANGGCCUACCAAGGCGACGACGGGUAGCCGGCCUGAGAGGGCGACCGGCCACACUGGGACUGGGACACGGCCCAGACUCCUACGGGAGGCAGCAGUGGGGAAUCUUGCGCAAUGGGCGAAAGCCUGACGCAGCGACGCCGCGUGAGGGAUGACGGCCUGGUGU
rnacentral:rRNA from 1 species